AUGGCUCAGGAUGAACGCUAGCUACAGGCUUAACACAUGCAAGUCGAGGGGCAGCAUGGUCUUAGCUUGCUAAGGCUGAUGGCGACCGGCGCACGGGUGAGUAACGCGUAUCCAACCUUCCCCUUAGUAGGGCAUAGCCCGGCGAAAGUCGGAUUAACACCCUAUGUUUUCCGUUGCGGGCAUCUAAUAUGGAACAAAGAUUUAUCGCUAAGGGAUGGGGAUGCGUCUGAUUAGGUAGUAGGCGGGGUAACGGCCCACCUAGCCUUCGAUCAGUAGGGGUUCUGAGAGGAAGGUCCCCCACAUUGGAACUGAGACACGGUCCAAACUCCUACGGGAGGCAGCAGUGAGGAAUAUUGGUCAAUGGCCGAGAGGCUGAACCAGCCAAGUAGCGUGCAGGACGACGGCCCUAUGGGUUGUAAACUGCUUUUAUGCGGGGAUAAAGUCGCCCACGUGUGGGUGUUUGCAGGUACCGCAUGAAUAAGGACCGGCUAAUUCCGUGCCAGCCGCUGC
rnacentral:rRNA from 1 species